rnacentral:rRNA from 1 species
GAUGAACGCUGGCGGCAUGCCUUACACAUGCAAGUCGAACGGCAGCACGGGAGCAAUCCUGGUGGCGAGUGGCGAACGGGUGAGUAAUGUAUCGGAACGUGCCCAGUCGUGGGGGAUAACGUAGCGAAAGCUACGCUAAUACCGCAUACGAUCUAUGGAUGAAAGCGGGGGAUCGCAAGACCUCGCGCGAUUGGAGCGGCCGAUAUCAGAUUAGGUAGUUGGGGGGGUAAAGGCCCACCAAGCCUGCGAUCUGUAGCUGGUCUGAGAGGACGACCAGCCACACUGGAACUGAGACACGGUCCAGACUCCUACGGGAGGCAGCAGUGGGGAAUUUUGGACAAUGGGCGCAAGCCUGAUCCAGCAAUGCCGCGUGCAGGAUGAAGGCCUUCGGGUUGUAAACUGCUUUUGUACGGAACGAAACGGCUUUUUCUAAUACAGAGAGCUAAUGACGGUACCGUAAGAAUAAGCACCGGCUAACUACGUGCCAGCCGCCGCAGUAA